rnacentral:miRNA from 1 species
AUAAAUUAGUUGAUAAGGU